rnacentral:rRNA from 1 species
GACGAACGCUGGCGGCAGGCUUAAUACAUGCAAGUCGAGGGGCAGCAUGAUUGUAGCAAUACAAUUGUUGACGACCGGCAAACGGGUGCGGAACACGUACACAACCUUCCUACAAGUGGGGAAUAGCCCAGAGAAAUUUGGAUUAAUACCCCGUAACAUAGCGAUGUGGCAUCACAUUGCUAUUAUAGCUUCGGCGCUUGUUGAUGGGUGUGCGGCUGAUUAGAUAGUUGGCGGGGUAACGGCCCACCAAGUCUACGAUCAGUAGCUGAUGUGAGAGCAUGAUCAGCCACACGGGCACUGAGACACGGGCCCGACUCCUACGGGAGGCAGCAGUAAGGAAUAUUGGACAAUGGACGCAAGUCUGAUCCAGCCAUGCCGCGUGAAGGAUUAAGGUCCUCUGGAUUGUAAACUUCUUUUAUAAGGGACGAAAAAAGGUCUUUCUAGAUCGUCUGACGGUACCUUAUGAAUAAGCACCGGCUAACUCCGUGCCAGCCGCCGCCGUAAGAC